rnacentral:rRNA from 1 species
CUGAAGGAGGAGCUUGCUUCUUUGGAUGAGUUGCGAACGGGUGAGUAACGCGUAGGUAACCUGCCUGGUAGCGGGGGAUAACUAUUGGAAACGAUAGCUAAUACCGCAUAAUAGUAGAUGUUGCAUGACAUUUGCUUAAAAGGUGCAAUUGCAUCACUACCAGAUGGACCUGCGUUGUAUUAGCUAGUUGGUGAGGUAACGGCUCACCAAGGCGACGAUACAUAGCCGACCUGAGAGGGUGAUCGGCCACACUGGGACUGAGACACGGCCCAGACUCCUACGGGAGGCAGCAGUAGGGAAUCUUCGGCAAUGGACGGAAGUCUGACCGAGCAACGCCGCGUGAGUGAAGAAGGUUUUCGGAUCGUAAAGCUCUGUUGUAAGAGAAGAACGAGUGUGAGAGUGGAAAGUUCACACUGUGACGGUAUCUUACCAGAAAGGGACGGCUAACUACGUGCCAGCAGCCGCGGUAAUACGUAGGUCCCGAGCGUUGUCCGGAUUUAUUGGGCGUAAAGCGAGCGCAGGCGGUUAGAUAAGUCUGAAGUUAAAGGCUGUGGCUUAACCAUAGUACGCUUUGGAAACUGUUUAACUUGAGUGCAAGAGGGGAGAGUGGAAUUCCAUGUGUAGCGGUGAAAUGCGUAGAUAUAUGGAGGAACACCGGUGGCGAAAGCGGCUCUCUGGCUUGUAACUGACGCUG